rnacentral:lncRNA from 1 species
CAUCCGCCUUCUCUCUGUUUCCCUAGACGACCCUUGUUUAUGGCGCCGCACCCUCCGCCCUUGCCAACUCACCCGCCUCCUCUCUGCUCCCGUCUCUGUAGAUGCGGUUGCUGGUGUAGCCAUCCGACAACGCUACCAAGAACUGUAUCUCCACCGUGCCACAACAAACCCAGAUGGGGAGGGACCCCCGGUGCAGGUGGAAGAGGGUUCAAAUUGUCCGGUGUGUCUGGAGGAGAUGGGCAGAGGGGAUCGGAAACUGGUGGCGUGUGAGACUUGUAAGAAUCCGAUUCAUGAAGAGUGUUUGAUGGCGUGGAAGAAGACCAGUAGGAGAAGAUUGACGAGUUGUGUGAUAUGUCGUGCAAGAUGGAGAGAUCCAGCUGAACGAGAGAGGUAUAUUAACCUCUCGGCGUAUGUUAGCGCAGAUGAAAACACCAUACAUGGUCAACAGGAUGUAGAUUAUAGUGGGGUGAAUGUAAAUGAUUAGAGAUAUAAAAAAAAUAGAGAUAGACUUUUUAUUUCUCUCAUUCAUAUUUUAUUUAUUUCUUGUCCAUUUGUUUGGAAUUGAUGGGAUUAAUUCAAAAUAUAAAUAGAAACAUCUACUCGCAUACCAUGCAGUGUGCAGUUAACUCCCACUUAAUUCGGCUAGCAAGUCCAACGUUGUUAUUGAUAUGUUCUUUUUAUCGGGUUUUGUAAAAAGUUGGGUUUAGUGGUUAGAUUUAAAAUGUUUGAUAUACUCAUUUAAGAGCUUUUGAUUCGGUAGACUCCUCUAAUAUUUCUCUUACUCUGUUAAAUUAAAGGUUAUAUUUAACUUGGUUAGACCUUGACUCAAUCAUAUCUUACUCGAUCAACAAUCACACAACCAUUAAGUUUGUAUGAACCGAGAAACAAGAGGAUCAUGCCUUUGAAUCUUUGAAUAAGAGGUUGUUUAUUAAGGAGCUAAUAAUUUCCUUGUCGAAGAGAAAAAACGAUUGUGGUGUAUGUAGAUGUUUAAGAAUAUAUCAUUAUAGAGUACCUAAACACAACUCAAACAAUUUAGGUGUUAUAAAGCACCUAAACAAUGUACUAUGUAUCAGUAUAGAGUACCUAAACAACUAAACAAUGUGAUUAUACAUAAACACACAACUCAAAUCUGAAUAGGUAUGUUUAUUAUUUGAAUAAAAAAAUCAUAUAAUUAAACAAUUUGCUACAAAUAUUCAGAUUUUUGGAUUGGUUUUCGAAAAAACCGAAUUAUUAUUUAAGAUUUUGGAUUGAUUUUGGUUUAUAAAAUAAAAUCUGAAUGGUCUAAAAUAUCCGACUAACAAUUUUUAUUUAUUUAUUUAUUUUAUUUACUUUUAAUAUAUAUCUUUAGUAUUUUAAUAAUUUACUAAUUUUUUAAUAUAUCAGAAAGUCUCAUUUAAUACUUUAUAACGUACUUUUUAUAAAAAAAAAGUUUUUAUCUAUAAAAUUUAAAAUUAUAAUAUAUUUUUUCUUAAUUUGUAGUUGUUUAUAAAUUUUAAAUUCAUAACGAUUUAAACUAUUUUCUCAAGUUUUUUUUAUUGAUUGGGCUAAUACUAAAGUUAUAUAUUAUGUAUUGCCUCUUAAAAAACAAAUUGUAAAAAUCAAUCAAAACAAAUUGCAAUUUGGUUAGUUUGUUAUAUUUAGGUCCAUAUUUUGAAAAUCAAAAUCAAUUUAGAUUUAUUUAAUCGGAUCGGACUAUCAUCCCUAAAUUUGACAAUGACAUUCUAACAAAUUAACAUAACGUCUUUUAUAGUAUGACGGAGAGAUUGUCUUUUAUUUUUUCGUUCUUCUUGUGUUUCUUAAUUGAUAUAGAGAUUGCAUUUUUUUUUGAACCGGCAAAUCUAAUCUAGUCAUAAGCUAACAACACCUAUUCCACCUGUGUCCACAACGGGACUUGAACCCUCGACCUCAAAGAGGGAGGACACCACCUGAUACCGCUGGGCUACAAGCCCUUUGGUGAUAUAGAGAUUGUACUAACUUCUUUUCUAUAUAGACCAACUUUUGUUUGACUACACAAUCUGCUAUUAGGACAUAUUGUCUAUAUUUUACAAUUCACAGAAAAUACAAAGUUAGUUUAUUAAAUACAAGUUACCAAUAUCAUCAAAUCCUAAUUGACAGUUUGUCCAUAUUUUCGAUGCCAACAUGUGACGACCAAUUUUUGUGUUUUCGGAUAACAUAUAUUUCGGCCCAACGUACCUAGCUGUUUACGUGAAACUUACCCAACUAGUUUUAACAAUAUUCAACAUAGUAAUUAUAACGAUAUAAAUGAUCGUCAACGAGUGUCAUCAUACAUAAACUAAACACAUGGUAAUGAAGCAUUACUUACAAAAAACAUAAUUAGUCAUGUAAUUGACAAAAUAGUUUUAUAUAAUUAUUUUUAGACAUAAAAAUGUUCUUUAAAUGUGUUGUGACUUUUUGAAAGGAUUCCUUUAAUUAAUUCUCCAUAUUAUUUCUAUAUAUAGCCCGAAAACAGUAAAUAUGUCUGAAUGACCCACACAGAAUGCACAUUGAAUAAUGAUUGGACAUCUAAAUAUCUAGUGAGCCAUGCUUUUUUUUUCUUUCAUAUUGGAAGUAAUAAAAAAUACAACAUGAACAAAAUGUCAUUUACAUUUUACAAGACAUACGACAAUCUCAAAUGACAUGUACCACAUGUUAAUCAGGACUGGCCCAAGGCAUCAACUUUUGUUUAUUCUUUUGGGUAUGCAUUUCAUUUAGGCCCAAGACAUAUUUCCUGACAAAGACUCCAUUUGAGGUUUGAGAAGGCAAAAGUCGAACGGGAAAAAAGAAAAGAACACCUUAAAUUUCUUGGUAAAUUCGUCUUGCAUGCCUAAUUCCAAGAGUCAGUUGAACCGAAGAAGACGAGGAGACGGGAGUUUUAUUUCAAAUUUUUAGUUCUUCUUCUCGACCUCUCCCUUAGUGUCUUUACAACUUUACACUACCAAGAAAGUCGGGUUUUUUCUUCUGAUUUUGUGUUCAAAUUUGAUAUUACUAGUUUUUUUGGUUAAGUGAAUGUCUAAAACGUAUGAAGCAAUACAUAGGGGUGAAGACCAAUAUAUGCUAACUUAAUUAACACUGUAAUGCUUAAGGGCAUCCACAAUUUGGAGUUAAAUAGGAGUUUAAUAGAAUUAAAUUGAAUAUAAUAUAAAAGAGAAAAAACAUAGAGUUCAAUGGGAUUGAACCUCAUAUUAGCCUAUAUCAAUGCAAAAUGGUGAGUUUUUUUUUUUUUUUUUUUUUUUUUUUUUUUUUUUUUUUUUUUUUUUUUUUUUUUAUGAAUUAAUUAUAAUAUACAUAUAGUUGGCAUUUGAUUGAACUCUCUUUGUUCAACCUCCGUUAUGCCAUAAAGACUGUCAACCAAAAUCAACAAUUACAAGUAGUCAAGCACAUUAAUAAGGGUCAUGAUUUUAAACCAACCAUUCUUUUCAUAUUACAAAAGACAUUUUGGUAUUUUAAAUAUUUUGUGUCAUUUAUCUAACUUUCUUAUUCCUUUAUAAUUUGUAAAUCUAAAAAUAAUAUUUUGUAUUUUGUAUAUUUUAUUUCAUUUUAUUUGUUUAUUCGGAAUAAGUUAAACAUAUUAACUAUUUGCCUUACAAAUUGAAAAUUUUCCUUCUAAUUUUUCAAGAAAUUUCGAUUUAUAUUAAGAAUCAAUGAAUUGUCUUUUAUUUAUAAGUCCCUUCUUGUACAUGUUGACUUGCCUUACGGACAACCUAAACCUCAUUUUAACGAGGCAACCGGUAACUUAUCCCGUUAACUUACGCCCUUACCUCCCCCUCACGUCUCCUCCAAGAAUCUCUACAUCACCUACAAUACCCCCAUCACCACACCAUUUCCCCACAAGAAAACCCAAAAAAAAAAUGGAACCUGCACAUCCCUCCACCUCCGCCGCACCACCAGCACCACCGCCACCGCCGCCAGCAGAAAACACACAAUACCCACCUGAGCCUCUCACAGAACGAGUCCUCCGUGCACUAGAACACCGUCUCCGUCUCCUCCACCGCUCUAACAACGACUUCUUCAUCUUAGGCGCCACCGGAAACGUCUACACAGUCACCCUCUCCGCCGCUCCAUCCUGCACAUGCCCAGACCGGACCACCCCAUGCAAACACAUCCUCUUCGUUUACAUCCGCAUCCUCUCCAUCUCCCUCGACGACCCUUGUUUAUGGCGCCGAAACCUCCAUCCUUGCCAACUCACCCGCCUCCUCUCAGCUCCCGUCUCUGCAGAUGCCGUUGCCGGUGUAGCCAUCCGACAACGCUUCCAGGAAAUGUAUCUCCACCGUGCCGCCACCAACCCGGAUGGGAAACGGCCGCCGGUGGUGGCAGAAGAGGGUUCGAAUUGUCCGGUGUGUCUGGAGGAGAUGGGGAGAGGUGAUCGGAAACUGGUGGCGUGUGCCACUUGUAAGAAUCCGAUUCAUGAAGAUUGUUUCAUGGCGUGGAAGAGGAGUAGUAGGAGAAGAUCAACGUGUUGUGUGAUAUGUCGAGCAAGGUGGAGAGAUCGAGCUGAACAGGAGAAGUAUAUUAAUCUGUCGGCGUAUGUUAGUGAAGAUGAAAACGAUCAACAGGGUGAAGAUUAUUGUGGGGUGAAUUUAAUUAAUUAGAGACUAAUGUUAAUUUCUCUCAUUUUUUUUUUCUUUUCUUUUCUUGUUCAAUUUGUUUAGAAUUCAUGGGAUUGAUUUAACAUGUAAAUACGUACAUCUAUUGUUAUUAAUAUUGACAACUCUGAACCUAUCUGUGUCUGUCUAGUGCAAUUUUUAAUCGGACGUGGG